rnacentral:rRNA from 1 species
CCUACGGGAGGCUGCAGUGAGGAAUAUUGGUCAAUGGACGAGAAUCUGAACCAGCCAAGUAGCGUGAAGGAUGACUGCCCUAUGGGUUGUAAACUUCUUUUAUAAAGGAAUAAAACGAGGCACGUGUGCCUUUUUGCAUGUACUUUAUGAAUAAGGAUCGGCUAACUCCGUGCCAGCAGCCGCGGUAAUACGGAGGAGCCGAGCGUUAUCCGGAUUGAUUGGGUUUAAAGGGAGCGUAGAUGGGUUGUUAAGUCAGUUGUGAAAGUUUGCGGCUCAACCGUAAAAUUGCAAUUGAUACUGGCAGUCUUGAGUACAGUUGAGGUAGGCGGAAUUCGUGGUGUAGCGGUGAAAUGCUUAGAUAUCACGAAGAACCCCGAUUGCGAAGGCAGCUUACUAAACUGUGACUGACAUUGAUGCUCGAAAGUGUGGGUAUCAAACAGGAUUAGAUACCCCAGUAGUC